rfam:Ovis aries breed Texel chromosome 1, whole genome shotgun sequence.
UCCCUGGUGGCUCAGCCAAUAAAGAAUCUGCCUGCAAUGCAGGAAACCCAGGUUCGAUCCCUGGGUUGGGAA